CUAGUAUAUAUUUUGAUAUAACAGUGCAUAUCAACUUAUGUAUCGUUACUUUAGAUGACUAGUAUAUAUCUAGAUAGAGCUGAUGUCAUUACAGAGCUCCAGAUAAGCUGCGUAUUUGCGUGAUCACGCAAUAAAAAUAAUAAAAAACCCAAUACAAUUGCCCAUUGCAGGGUUCAAAAACCCAAUUAAUUCAAAGGAAAACCCAAUUAUAUGCCAAAACUAUGAGAUCUUAACGCUUUUACUUGCUAUCGUUUGCGUUAUUUACCCUUAUCUGAUUACAGUCGUAGCGUAAAUCUAUUUUAUAAUAUUUAUAAUUGGAAAUGUCCUAUCGUUCAAAAAUAGAGCCCUGCAUCAAGUAGCUGAAAUGGGUCCCUGUUGAAAUUCUCCGUUGCUCAACAGGUACACGUGAAUAUGAAAAUAUUUCGAUCUUCUCGGUGUUUAUCCACUUAGCGUGUGUCAUUUGUCAUAUUUUUUCGAAUUGCUCGGGACUUAUCAUAACAUAC
rnacentral:lncRNA from 1 species